rnacentral:rRNA from 1 species
GGCACGCCUGCCUGGGUGUCAC